UACGGAGGGGGCUAGCGUUGUUCGGAAUUACUGGGCGUAAAGCGUGCGCAGGCGGUUUUGUAAGUCUGUCGUGAAAUCCCCGGGCUUAACCUGGGAAUUGCGAUGGAGACUGCAAGGCUAGAAUCUGGCAGAGGGGGGUAGAAUUCCACGUGUAGCAGUGAAAUGCGUAGAGAUGUGGAGGAACACCGAUGGCGAAGGCAGCCCCCUGGGUCAAGAUUGACGCUCAUGCACGAAAGCGUGGGGAGCAAACAGG
rnacentral:rRNA from 1 species